GAUCUCUGUUUUUCUUCACAAGCUGUAUCAAAUGCUAAAAAUAAUCAUUAAUUGGAUGAUAAACGAUGCUCUUUCAUAGUCUCUAUGCAAUUUUUUACAAGGUGAAAUCAUAUAUUAGUAUCACAAUUGGAGGUUGCAGCAACUUGUUAACUAAAAACUAAUAGAACCUGAGUCUGCUCCAUCAAAAUGUGAAAAGUUGCAUCUUUACUGCAACAUGGUCAUGUAAACUUCAUUCUUACAUGGGUCAUUGCAUACCUUCAUUCUUCUCUCCUCCCCCCU
rnacentral:misc_RNA from 1 species